UACGAAGGGGGCUAGCGUUGUUCGGAUUUACUGGGCGUAAAGGGCGCGUAGGCGGCCACCGCAAGUCACUUGUGAAAUCUCCGGGCUUAACCCGGAAAGGUCAACUGAUACUGCGGGGCUAGAGUGCAGAAGGGGCAACUGGAAUUCUCGGUGUAGCGGUGAAAUGCGUAGAUAUCGAGAGGAACACCUGCGGCGAAGGCGGGUUGCUGGGCUGACACUGACGCUGAGGCGCGAAAGCCAGGGGAGCGAACGGG
rnacentral:rRNA from 1 species